CAGGCUCCUCAGAGAGUGUGCAGACCAGCUCAGUGAGGUCCUCUUGGAACAGUAUAAUACAAGAGUAACUACUAAAAUGGCCAGUGAGUGUAUUCCUGUUUCUUACAAGGCUUCAGUCUGGGUGUGACUGACAAGGUAUUUUUUUGCUGGAUAAACGUCUUUAUUGCACAUUUCUGUAUAUACAGUAGCUUUUACUGUUAACCACUAUAACCACCUUUACGCUUUUUUUACAAUGUACAAGUACUAGUAUAAGUUUGAGUUUAUUCAAAGUAAAGUUUGUUGUUAAAGGUCUCUAAAGAACAAAAGAACUCCUAACAAAGACUGGUUUGGAUUUAUUUUAAUAAUAAAUAUUUAUUAUGCGCCCACCAUUUCUGUGUUAACAUUAAAAAUGCAACUAUAAACCGAUCAGAUUAGUGGACAGUCAUUCUGUAUCAUAGACUAUUUGCUAAACCACAUUAUGACAGAAGAGCUGGACAGUUUAGAGUCUGUCAUCAGGGAUCACUAAUUGAAAGUUACAGUUACAGCAUAGAAGAAACAGGUGAAACAGGGCACAGAGCAGGUGGUGGAAAUAGAUCAGUCAGGUGUAAUUGUAACAUAGUUAAAGUGUACGCUAGUUAAAUCCAGCUAAAAGGGGCAAUUCGCCACCUGCUGGUAAAAUGUUGCACAUACCUUCGGUAUUAAAUACAAGGGAUUAUGGGUAAUCUUCAGAAGCGCGAAGGAUUUCCCCAGAGGUAACGUGCCUGUGAAUGUGCCCGUGGGCAAAGUGUGUAAACUUCAUUAAAAAAAUAUAUGAAAGUUUUACCAGUACUAUGAGGCUGAUGGUAGCGGUAUGCUAAUUGUUUUCGCCAUGGUUUUGUUAACUUAUGAACCAUUUUGCUUUGUUUUAUCUUAAAAUGUUGAAGCUUUAAGCUAGCUAGCUAACUCUAAUGGUGCUGUCUCUCCAGACGGAGCGUAUACAAGCAGAUUGCCCACAGCACAUGAUUCUGUUUUGCCUUUUUCCCUUUUCCCUUGUGAAACUACAGGUAUGUCAUUUUUGCUUGAUAAUGUUUAAGAUUAUAUUUAUUAUCUGGCCCAGUUACAUGCUUUAAGUGGAGCUGUAAUUUGUUGUUAAGUGUUUCAUAUUGUAAUGAAAAUAUAAGAAGGGUAAUGAUCCAGUGUAAGCUACACUGUAGGUAUGUUAUACUUCAUAUUAAUUAUUCUUUACUGUUGUAAGGUUAGGAUAAUUUUUGUUUAUUUAUUUUUACCUUCUUCAUAAACACAUAGUCCACUAUAUGAUCUCAUUAUAGACAGUUGCGAACUAUGUAUGGGUAAUCUUGAGAAGCGCGAAGGAGUUCCCCAGAGACGGAGCGCAUACAAGCAGAUUGCCCACAGCACAUGAUCCUGUUUUGCCUUUUUCCCUUUUCCCUUGUGAAACUACAGUUGCUGAAUAAACCUGCUGUUACCAACAUCUAGAGCAGCUCCGAGUGGUCAUUAACAAAGAAAAGAAAAGAGACAGACAGAAGACAUGACACCAGAGCUGGAGAAGUUCUGUUCUGUGCUGGUGGCGGUUGGAUGAGCCAAGAACCAGCUGUCCCGAAUCACUGAGCAGAGGAAGAAGCAGCCAGAGGUGUAAGCAGCUGUACAGGACACACUGGGGCAACUACUGCUCUUGUGGCACCAAGAGAUGAUCAUUGAAAAGGUGAAGACCAAAUGCUAUGCAGCAGCUCAACAAGACCUCAACCAACCAGCCCAGAGAAGAAGCUCAUGACAAGAUCCAACAGCAGAUGCUGUUAGAGGAUCCAGUCCUCUGCCAAGAAGAAACAAGAUGGUGCAGGACGUUAUCUGUGGUCAGGAAAGAAGCAGCUGUCAUCAUGACAACAACCAAGUCAUUUUAAAGCAGACAUCUACAUGUCACCACCACCAUCCCUGCUGCUGCUGAUCAACUCCCUGCACCUCAACAGUGACCAGGCCUCUGAGCAGCGUGUCUGCAUCCACAGCACUUGCUGACAUCUGUGGGUCCUCUACAGCCUGGAACCAUCAGCCCCAUGCCCAGCAGCAGGACACAUUAAUCCUGGAGGACAGCAGGUGCUACCAACACAAGCUAAGGUGAGAAGCUGCUUUACUGCUCCCAGCAUCGUCUGGAAACACGCUGCUGGUAUAAGCACCUACUGUACACGUCUCCUCGAACACUGAGGAGAAAUGAGAUGAGGAAACAGAACUAGUGGUUGGAAAAGUCCACCCUUAACCAGCUCGCAUUCUGGCUUUUGACACAUUUGCAGACAUUAGGUUUUUACAGUUGAUCCUAAAUGAAGGAUGUUAAAAAGCAGAAAGAUCCAAGUUGUAUUCUAACACUACAUGUCACUGUAGAGUGGAGUAGGUUCUGAUUCUAGUUCUACUGGUUGUAUACUGUACAUGAAAAAUAAAAUGGUUACCCUU